GCGUCCAUCGUCUAAUGGAUAGGACAUAGGUCUUCUAAACCUUUAGUAUAGGUUCAAAUCCUAUUGGACGCA
rnacentral:tRNA from 1 species